AGGUUCAGUAGAUCUGUAUUUUAACAAGACCUUCCGUUGAUUCUGCUGUGUGCCAAAAUUUAAGAGCCACUACACUAGACUUUUGCAAAAGAUUGGAAACUGGGCAAAUCUGACCUUCUGACCAAGAGAAAUUAGGAACCCCGAGUCUUUAAAGAGAAGCAUGUGUCUGAAUAGGAGACAACGUGGGAAAAGUAUCAACUUUAGCAGGAAGCAUGCUGACUUACGGCCCUUUGGCCCUUUCCCCGGAAACAUGUAAUCAUGUGGAAUUGUAUCCCAACUCAGCCACUUACUAACCAUGUGGCUUUGAGCAAGUCAUUUGUUUCCCCAAAAUCAAUUUCAUCAUCUGCAAAAUGGGAAUCAUGAAAGCUGGCACAGUGCCUGGCUUAUAGAAGGUGCUAAAUAAAAAGCAACUGUUGGAACGAUGCUCCUGUCAAUCAGCAACCAGCCAUAACACUCAAUAGCCACCAAGUACCUUUCUCUCCCGUUCCCGUCGUGGACACUGAGGAACAUGCAGGCAAGGGGAAUAAUCACCUCCCAUUGUGGGGGCCGGGGGCUGCGCUGGGCUCUGUGUGUGCUCAGGGAGAAUGACAGGCUCACAGUGAUCUGAAUCCAAUGGGCACAGUUGGGGAGCGGCAAAUACAGAACCCAGCGCCAGAUCUUUGGGGACAGAGUGUCACCAAGGAAAGGCUGCCUGGCUCCUUCACAGCAACCCUCCCCUCAUCAGCCAUUCCUUUGAAAAACUUCAAGUACCACACCGACGUGCGAAGCAAAGCUAAUGAGACUUCUGAGCGCCCGCCUCCUGUCCUCAAAGAGCAGCUCGCGCCACAAGACAAAGCCUGCGGUGUCCGGCCGU
rnacentral:lncRNA from 1 species